rnacentral:lncRNA from 1 species
AAAGGGAGAGUGUCUCUGGUGACGGCAGCUAUCAGCCUCUCACGCGCACAGAGAUGGUGAGAGUAUGUGGCAAGGAAAGAGUGACAGUGGGCAAGGUAAUGAAGAGGAGCGUGAAACCAUGGCACCAACUUUAUGAAGCAUGCGUAGCUGCGCCAUUACUGCACCAUUUCAAAAAUUUCUUUUGACUAUAUGUUACAACAGCUUUCUAAUAAAGAUAAAUCUGUUAUUUUU